rnacentral:lncRNA from 1 species
CGGGAAAAUAUAUAAUGAUAAUCAUAUGGAGAAAAACAAAAAAUGAAGAGCAGCCAGGUCUUGCGAACGUCAUGCAGCUACCUCAACGACUCUGAAUCUCUAGAGACUGCGAGAAUCAACUAAGCGUCUGGUGUACCUGAAUCUGCAUACAAGGUGCAGGGAGUAAGGGUGAGUACCACCGACACAGUGAAUAAUAAGUAUAGAAAAUUACUGAAAGCAGGAAAUCAACAAAGUACCACAACGCAAAGCUAUAACUAACAAUCCUAUUACUUCGCUACAUGCUAACAACAUAACAGUAUCACAAUAACAACCAAGUAUCAGAUAAAGAUGCAAUGCAAUGCACAUGAAUUCACUGCGGAACGUGCAGCCUGAUCCAUUUAACGUCGACUACGCUCAUUGGGGGUGUGUAUAGACUCUGGAGGGGCUCCUUCAUCCCAAUCGCAAUAUCAAUUUAUAUAUCCGCAGCGGAUCGUGCAGCCCAACUCAAGCUCAGUCCACAAUAUGCAUAUGAGUCACAUAAACAGAUUCAAUUUAAAUUCUCGUUUUUCCAAUUAUUACGAUGAAUAUAAUUUAAUUAAUCAAUUUCAGAAAUAAGGUGACUUAGAAUUCCAUUUCGGUGAUUAAACAGAGGACUGAGAUCCAUUAUUAUGAAAUCAUGUUAUCACACAAAUAUUUACCCUAGACGGGUACUACAGAUCGGCUCAAGGCCCCAAACAUGGCAUUAAGCCCAAUUAUCAAAAACACAAUGUGCGUAUCAGACGCCAAUAAUUUAUUCAGCUCACGGGAUGGACCAAGUCACAAUCCCCAAUCAUUUACAACCCCGCACCUCCCAUGGGGUGCGAGUCACGCCCUAACAUAGCGUCACGAUGUGAUAAUCUAGGGUUUCAAACCCUCAGGCCAUCAUCUAUACUAACUACUCACCUCUAACUGGUCGUAGCCUGGUCUGCAAUUCCCUUUUCCUUCAAAUCUUCUCCUACGAGCGUCGAAUCUAUUUAAAAGCACAACGAAUAGGUUAUUCCAGGCUACUCAAACAUAACCCAAUUGAAAUUAUUCGAAAAACAUUAAAAAUCGCGAAGUUGGUAAAACCUGAGCCUCGGGCCCACUUCUCAAUAAAUUCUGAAAAUUACAUCUUCGGAUUCCUUGUUUUGUCACGAGUUUGUACAUAUAAAGUUCACCAAAAACAGGGGCCGUUUGACCCUUCAAAUCCCCGAAAUUUGUUUUCUAAAAACUACGCCCUAGUUCUUCACAAUUUCUACACAAUUUCAUGGAAUUUGAUUAUUUCUAAAAAUGACGUUUUUAAGCCCAAAGACUUACCUCUAAUCGAUACCCGCUGAAAACCCACUUCAAAUCGCUCAAAAACCUCUCUUGGCGGAGUAAAAAUGGUGGAAAUAUCAUGAGGGUCACGUAUGAAAUUUAGCCCUUAAACGGAUCUGCCCAGACGUCUCCUUCUAUGCGAUCGCGACCCAAGGAAUGGUUGAAAUAUUAUGAGGGUUACAUCUGAUAUUUAGCCCUUAAAUAGUUCUACCCAGACGUCUCCUUCUGUGCGAUCGCGACACAAGGUACGCGAUCGCGGAGAACAAAUUCCGGACCCUUAAGGUUCCUCUUACGCGAUCAUAGGUCAGAGCACGUGAUCGCAGAAUUUCGACCAGCAACCCUACGCGAUCGCACUAACCCACCACUCUAGCCUACGCGAUCGCAGACCAAGAUACGCGAUCGCCGAGACCAAAUUAGCACCCCCUCUGAACCUUCUAUGCGAUCGCAGUCCCAGGCUCGCGAUCGUAGAGGGUAUUUUCCACUCUGCAAUUUUUGCUGCACUUUUUCAUUCCGAAAAUUCCCGUUAGCCAUCUGAAAUCACCCCAACGCCCUCGGGGCCUCAACCAAAAGCACAGGCAUAUUCUACAUCAUACAAAGUUGCUCGUAACACAAAAACAUUAUCAUAAAUAUCAAAAUCAUCAAAUUACCACAGAUUCAAGGCUUAGUUAAACUAAUAACUUGCAUUUUCUCCAAAACCCGAUCUAAGCACCUCCAAAUGAUCUGAAAAUUUUCAAACAUAUCAAAAAUAAGCUAACAGAGUUGCUGCAACUGUCGAAAUUUCAUUCCGACUCCCGGAUAAAAAUAUCACCUAUCAACCGGACUUCGCCAAAUUUCUAACUUAGCCAAUUCAAGCCUAGUUCUACACCGGACCUCCAAAUUCAGUUCUGCUUUCGCUCUUAAAUCACAAAUCACCGUCCGAAACUAGUCGAACCAUCGAAAAUCCGUUCUGAUCCCUCUAACUCAUAAGUCAAUGUUUGGUUGACUUUUUUCCAAAAUAAAUUUCUCUUAAAGAGACUAAUUUUCUCAUUUCUAUCCAAACUCCAUCCGAAUUAUUCAAAACUCUCCAAAUACAUAUAUUGAAACCAAUAACAACAUAAAAGGGAAAAUGGGGCAGAAAUACACGGGACGACGGGUCAGGUCGUUACACAAUAGUUAUAUGAAUGCAUAUUUUAUCCAGAAUAAAAUAAUAUCAACAUCAAACGAUUUGAUUAUUGCACAAGGCACAUCUAUUAUGGUUUGAACUCUUUAAAUAUUAUAUUAAAAUAUUUCGUAAGUAUAUUUUAGACACAAUAAACCACGGCUCUGAUACCACUGAAGGAUUGUGUAUAGGCGUUCGUAACACGCAACGGAAGACAAUAACAAUCCUAGAAAGAUCUUUUAGUGUUUAAACUUUAUUUACAUAUCGAAUAUCAAAUCAGAGACGUACCUGGUGAAGAGAGUCUUGUUUCAAAAUUUUUCGAUAGUGCGAAGCCUCUAUGCGUAUCCACACCGAGACCGAUCCUUGCUAUCAACUUUUUGAUCAACGAAACCCGUGAACAAAUUGAACGAAAUAUAUUAUGUUGAAAUUUUUCUAAAAAAUCUCAAUUCAAAUUUAAAGAACAAGAAACACUUUUCUUGUAGUUGUAUUUUCUCUCUUGACUUUGUAUUGCACUCUCACUUUCACAAAGUGGGUUUUCUUCUCGAGAAUAAUUUUUCAUAAACUCUCUCAAGUGUUAUGUUUUACAAAGAAUACCUACAACACUUUUCCAUGACCCCUUUUAUAACAUCACCAAAACCUAUUUCCUAUUGGUCAAGGUGGUGAAUUACUUUGGGUACAAGUCUAGUUCCAAAAAUAGACCUUGUAAAGUUUUUCAUUUGAAAAAAUAAAUCCCAUUUCAGAUGGGAUUAUAUGUUCACGUUGGCAACUAGUCCUUUGAUGGACUUUAUACAUCAAAAUCCAAUUCUAAAUCUGAUUUGAUUCAUAUGUCUUCAUCAAUGUACUUUAUAUUAAUAAAUAUUAAUUUUAUAUAUAUAUAUAUAUAUAUAUAUAUAUCACAUAUAUAUUUUGACCAAGAGAUAUAAUUUAAUUUUCUAUUAUAAAUAGAAAACUUCAAUUCGUUCACAAUAUCAAUUAUAAUCACUUUGCAAACAAAAAGUAUAAUAAUAUUUCAUUUGGAUUAAUAACUAAAUUUAUUUGACUAAUUAAAUUCCUUAAUUUAAUUAUCAAAUAGUAAGUUAAUUAAUCCUUUAGCAAAGAUCAGAACACUCGUUAGUGUGCGACCCCAUAGGUUCAAUACUAAACCGGUAGUAAAUUCGUCACAUCAAUAUACUAAUCAAGGGUGGCGUCUAACACUCCUUAAUGACCGGAUAUCAUGAAGUAUACAAUUUACUCUCAAGAACCAGUAGAAGAAUAAUAUAAUAAUUUCUUCUGUCUUUAUAGCUCUGGAUCACCCUAGGAUAUGGUUCGACUGUCAAAUCCUAAUAGGUUAACAACUAUAUGUUCAUGUCAAAUAUAAUCGACCACUGAAUGACCUAAGAAACUCAUUUCUUCUUUCAUUCAAUUGCCCUAGUCAAGGUCUUAGUUUGGUCGUUUAUAAUUCAUGACAACAUGAAGUUUAAACUCAUUAUCAAGAGUUGAUGGAUUCCAUCUUGAUCGAUCACUAAUUUUACAAGCAUUUAAUCGUACCCAAUAUCCUUUCAACUAUCGCCCUAGCGCCAUAUGUGUCUAGUAUCAAAGCACAAUAAAUCACUUGUCAAUUACUAUGACGAUCUCAAGUCAAAGGAAACUGUUAUAUCACAUUCUUCAAGAAAAUAUCCUAUUGACAGUUAUGGUAAUUCUAACCAUUAGAAAUUAUUCAAUGAGUCGGUUCAAUGAUCAUAUCUAUAUAUGCAUCAUCUAUCUAUGUUAUUUAGUUAAUGAGAUCAACUAUCUUUAUCCCAUACAGACGAUCACAUAAAUAUUGAUAUAACUGGAUUACUAAUGUCCAAGUUAUUAAUCCUACGAUCAAGAACAAAUUUAGAUUAAAUUGUAAGAGACUUUUCUCUCAUUAUCAUGAUCUAUAUCACGAUGACAAAUCUCAAAAUUUAUCAAGGACCUUAUCAAAUUAAUCAAACAAUUAAUAAUAAUGAUAAAAGAAUAUCAAAUUCCAUAUAUUUUAUAUCAAAUGACGUUCAUGAAAAUAUGUUCAAAUCAUCAAAUAUGAUAUUGGAUCUAGGGCAUAUCUAUUAUAUCCCUAACAUGAAUCUUGUAGCAGAUUUUGGGCAACUGUCUUAAUCUUGCUCCCUUUUGUUUUGUACUGUACAAAUGUUUGCUUGGUAAUUAUAUUUUUUAGUUACCACAAACAAAAAAGGGGAUUAUUUAUUAGAAAAGCCAAAUCUGAAAAUUGCCCUGCUCCCCAGCAGAACUCCAUAUCCUCUAUCCUUAAUCUGAAAAUCAAUACUACUUUUGGAAAGUACCUUGGUUUUCCCAUAUAAACGACAAAACCUAAGCCAAGGGAUUACAACUUCAUUAUUGAUAAUCUUAACAGGAGACUCAAUAGCUAGAAAACCCAAUUCCUAUCCUUAGUAGGACGGGCUAUUCUCAUCCAAACAACUCUCAACUCCCUCCCAAACCACAUCAUGCAAUAUACUAUGCUACCAAGAAAACCCCCAUAAUCACAUUGACAAAAUCCAAAGGGGUUUCCUUUGGGGGAGUACUCUAAACUCAAGGAAAAUCCACUAUAUCAAAUGGGAUACUAUUACCUUGCCUAAAAAAUUGGGAGGACUAGGAAUACAGGAAUCAAUUGAUAAGAAUAAAGUUGCCCUUACAAGCCUUUCAUGACAUCUCCUUACUCAUCCCCACACCACCUGGGCAACUUAACUGCAAUCAAAAUACAAAGUCAGAUACACCAAUGCAUCCUACUCCUUCAUCUGGAAAAACAUCCUCCUAGGAUAGAAAAUAUGUACGAAUGCUAUUGCAUGGCAGUUGAGGAUGGCUCCAACGUUAGUUUUUGGCAUGCAAAUUGGUUGCCAUGAAAUCAACCCCUAAGAAACAUUCUCCGCGGGCCAUUAGCUCCACCGGAUUCAAACCUCAUGAUCUCCCACACAAUCUAAAAUGGGACAUGGAAUCUCUCAGACCUUUCUAUUGAGUUGCCCCCCAAAAUCCAAACACAACUCUCAUCUGUACUCUACAAUGGGACUCGUAGUCAAAUGGAUAUACCCUAUUGGAGCCUCACCACAUAUGACAUUUUCACAACUAAGUCAGUAUACCCUUUGAUUACCACGUCUAUGGAUCACAAUCAUGGAAACGACUUCCAAUGGAUUUGGAAACUAAAAACUUGGAACAAAUUAAAGUACUUCCUCUGGCAAUGCUACCACGACAGAUGUCACAGCUCCUUUUUCCACUAUAAAACCCGGCAAGGGGGAGUAAAGGAGUUUUUCCACUUAAAGGACAAUCGGAACGGGAUUUGUUAUUAAGAUCAUUUAGAGUUGCCACUUGGGAGAUUAAUGGUGUCCCAAUUCACCCGGUUUAAUCUCGAACAGAGGAAAGUUUGACUUUGUUCACAGUCCGCGAACCAGAAAUCUGAAUAAGGAAUUCUAUUAACUCAGGAGAAGGUGUUAGGCAUUCCCGGGUUUCGUGGUUCAAGCAUGGUCGCUUAACUAUUGCAUUUGGUUUUAUCUGAUUUUAAUACAUGCUAGCUUAUGUGUUUUUUUUAUAAACCUCUUUUAUCAUUAUUUAUUUUAAAAUACUUGCGACGUCGUGAAAACACGUCUCUGACCACGUCACAACCAGUGUACACGUGAUCGUCGACACGUUUCGACUUCGUCAAGAUUUGGAUUUGGGUGACAUCAAUGCGCACCCGAGUUUACGAAGAGUAAUUUAAUUAAAUCGCACUUAAAGGUUCUAACAUAAUACUGUUUGGGAAAGUCCGUUGAAAUUCGGUAAACGACCCUUUCAAAUUCUAAUCAUUAUUAAUAACCAAUUACUGAGGGCCCCACAUUUAUUUUGUUCGUUGAGGCUCGUCUCUAUUUUUGAACUGAUUUUGCGAUCAUAAUUUAUUUUAUAAAAAUUACGACGCCGUGAAAACACAUUUUUAACCAUGUAGCCAUCAAGGCACCCAUGGUUAUUAACACAUUUCGAUUUUGUCGAGAUUUGAAUUUGGGUUACAUCAAUGCACAACCGAGUUUAAGAGGGUCUUAAUUAAAUGCGUCUAAAGAGUCUAACGUAUUAUUAUUUUUGGGAAGGCUGUGAAAUUUUUUAAACGGCCCUCCCAUAUUUUAAAUCAAUUCUUAUAAAAAAUUAUCGAGGGCCCCACACUUGUUUUGUUUGGCGAGGCUCGUCUCAUCAGUUCAAUAAAAGGCCAACCUAAAAGUGACUAAAAAUUCUAAUCUCUUUGUCUCUAAUGAAAUCCAAGUCCAUAUAAAUAGACUGGCGACUGGUUUAUUAUUAAAAGCUAUAAAUGGGCCUCUAUAUCGUCUCUUUGGAAAGGAAACAAUUUGGGCCCAAAGCAUGCAGAAGGAAAACCCGGGCAGGCGCCAGUGCCUCCACUCGACAUCGAACCCCCACAAAGGAGAUCUGGAUAUGCAAUUACGGAAAUAUUAGAUGUGGGUGUGCCAUAUUGAGAUCAUAUAACUGAUGACAAGCCAUAAUCCUAAAUUAAUUGGAAAUUUGAUAGUACUGAACCCAUGAACAAUUUAUUAAUCAAUACAAUGACUAACUUCUGAUUUUAAAAACAUACAGCAAAAUAAGAAAUAAAAUUACGGAAUGGCUAAAAGUUCCAAUAGACCAAUUAAUAGUGCAUAUUUUGUUCAACUAACCAUUGGUGUACAAUUAUUAGCUUCCUUUCGAAAUCAAAUCCAAUUUUUUCUGACUCUCCUUUAAAAACAGCGGAAAUAAAUGCUAAACCAGGCUGAUGAGAAACUAGUGCUAGAUGAUCAACAAUAUCAACACUAGUUAAACCAAAUACAUGGAGAUCUACUAGAACUUUGCAUUACAGUAUCAACACUAGUUAAACCAAACGAAAUUGCUACACAUAUGAAAUACAUCUAAUUAAUCUAACAUUAUACUACUUAACAAUACAGUCCAGAAUUAUUACAAAAUUCGAGAACAAUAAAUAAUCAAAUAUGGCAGGGCCAUUAAAACACAAAGCCACAGUGGGAAGUUAUCCUUAAUUUCAUUUCAUAUCUCAAUAGAUGAAGCUACAUCAAUGGAGUUUGGAGAUGUGUACCAGGAUGUAGAAAUACAAGAAGAAUAAGAAGAAGAUCAGCUAUAAUAAUAUAUUCCAGCAGAAUAAUUUGCAAACAGCAGGUAACACAGCAUGUUCAGUCAAGAAAUGAGUUCAACAGUCGAAGGAUAAGUUGAAGGCCAAGUAAAAUCCACUGCUAAACCCAAAAUAGCACCAAAUAGCCUACAACAAACUGACUGAAUCCUCAAAAAUUGCUCGGAAUCAAAUAAAAACUACCCUGAACCUUCAGUUACUAGUAAUCGAGCAAGAAAUGCUACUCAACUAGGCGAAACUAGAAUUUGGCUAAGAGAAGCAAUGCAAUAGUACUUUUUUGGUUUUUGAAGAGUUUUUGUUUCUUUUUUUUGUUUUCUUCUAAGGAACUAAAAUCUAGCCAGAAUUUAGCUAAAAUAGAAAGCUGGAUCAGAUCUAAGAAAAACUUUAGAAUGGAGAAUUUAGGAGAUAAUAAUGACUGAAAAGAGAAGACCCCUAGCAAGGCUGUUUAUAUGCCCUUUUAUAGGAAUGGCAUUUAUGGCAUCUAUAUGAGCAUCAAAAUUGCACCUAGAACCUUUUGCAAUUUUCAAAUUUGCUACUUAGUCCCUAAAAUUCUGACUUGCUUGCCAAGCUUAAUGCAUACAAAUCUCAAAUUUCACUGCAACUCCCUACUAGAAGCUUCCCCAUUAUGUUGUUAAAAGAUUCCUUAAGCCAAUUCCUUAAGCAGAAGAAAGGAAUGAAAAUAAUGGAACAAGAAACGGACAAGGAAAAAUAAAAUGAAAGAACACUUACCUAAUUAACUUGAAGCUGGAGCCCCCGAUUUUAAACAAAACUAAUGCUAAUCGCUUGUUCUUGACAAAUAACAAGCGAACAACAUUAAUUUUUCAUUAAAUCACUCUUCGAAACUCAACACUCGAAGGCCUAGGUCUUCCAUGCCACAAAUUUGAAGGUAAGGCAAUUUGGGUUUCAGGUCUUCAUCUUUAGAUUCCAGAUUCGAAAAGAUAUAGAGGGAUUUGAGGGAAGUGGAUUUUUGUUAUGGAAAGAAAAAGGGUUGGGGGUUAUAUGGUGUAAUUUUGAGGCGGAAUAAAGCUGGCGCCGCAACCGGAGGAGUUGACGAUAUGUGGGUGGCGUCGCUAGGGUUACGCAGAUAGUAGGCUGUUUAGGAGAGACGAGAGAAGGGGGCGAGUUUGGACCGUUAUAUGAUAAGGUAGGAUCAGU